rnacentral:lncRNA from 1 species
GAGACACGCCUCUCCAAGGCCUAUAAAAGCAGCACCAGUUCUGGGCUCGGGGUCUUUUUGCCUCUACAAUCAAGCUCUCCCAAUAAACUUGUGCAGAAGGAUCCUGUUGCAGCGUCGUUCUUCCUGGCCAGUCGAGCGCGCGCAAGAAGUAGUGCCGAAAACCCGGGACAAGAAACAUCUUCAGGCACGAGCGAAGACCCCCUGCUACAGGGAGGAUUCAGAACUGCAUCACGGGGAAGGAGCAGUUAAUAAAGGUUCCCACAAAACAGACUGCUGAGAAGGAUCCAGCGUGGAUUCAGAACUCUUCAGCUGAGGAACGGUGGUACCGUGAAAUUCCUCUUCCUCCACCAUACCUAGGAGAAAUUGUGUCCUUCCUUCGCUCACCAUGCGUCCUUUCCUCUGUUUUGGAUGAAAAAUGUACAGCCAUUUUCAAGUAUUUUGAUUGGACCUGAUCAGAAAUUUGAAAUUGGAUGGGACUUGACAAGGAUUUAGAACUGUUUAUCAAACCAUACUGCUAGUCAAAUAUUAAAUUGCUUAAACCCUUCCUUAGUGUGUGGCUCUCUGUCUAGCAAGAAUGGCCAGAGAUGCAUUAAGGGUUCUUCUGUUCUGUGAUAUUACUGUCUUUGCUUAGAUUAGUCUUGUGCUUAGAUAGUGAUUUCUUUUUCAAGAUUUAUGACAUUUCAAUUUUGAC